GAUGAAGAACGCAGCGAAAUGCGAUAAGUAGUGUGAAUUGCAGAAUUCAGUGAAUCAUCGAAUCUUUGAACGCACAUUGCGCCCCUUGGUAUUCCAUGGGGCAUGCCUGUUCGAGCGUCAUUUGUACCUUCAAGCUUUGCUUGGUGUUGGGUGUUUGUCCAUUCUCUUGCAGAGGGACUCGCCUUAAAGUAAUUGGCAGCCAGUGUUUAGGUUUUGAAGCGCUGCACAAGUCGCGAUUCAACGCUAUACGCCAGCUUCCACAAGCCUUUUUCACUUUUGACCUCGGAUCAGGUAGGGAUACCCGCUGAACUUAAGCAUAUCAAUAAGCGGAGGA
rnacentral:misc_RNA from 1 species